ACUCCUACGGGAGGCAGCAGUGGGGAAUCUUGGACAAUGGGGCAACCCGUGCAUCCAGCCAUGCCGCGUGAGUGAUGAAGGCCCUAGGGUCGUAAAGCUCUUUCGCCUGUGAAGAUAAUGACUGUAGCAGGUAAAGAAACCCGCUACAUCGUGCCAGCAGCCGCGGUAAUACGGAGGGGGUUAGCGUUGUUCGGAAUUACUGGGCGUAAAGCGCAUGCAGGUGGUUUGUUAAGUCAGAUGUGAAAGCCC
rnacentral:rRNA from 1 species